rnacentral:lncRNA from 1 species
CGUCGACCACAAGCGCUAGAGCCCACCUCUGAGGUAAAAGAAUCCUCAAAAUCUCCAACGAGAGUGAAAACGGCAAGCGUUAAUCCAAGACGCCAAGAAAGAACGACAAUACCGCUUCAACACUCCUCUCACCCACUGCCUAGCUAAGACCACAUGGUGACUGAGACCAGAACAGAAGAGAGAGCAACCCAAACGCCUCCAGUUGCCAACAUCCCUACAGAAGGUUUAAGACACCUCCUGCCAAACCCUAAGGACAACAUUAUCGCCGUCGUUAUCUUUAGUCGUUAGGGAGUAUAUGAUUUAAUUUAAAUCAAAUUUGCAACAUAUACGCUGGGACGCGUCCGUUUUGUCGUUAGCUAACAUAUUUUUUUUUGUCCUUAGGUGAUACGUGUCGGCAAGGGAAUGGUGGAAGAGUUUUCGUUAGGGCAAAAUC